rnacentral:rRNA from 1 species
GACGAACGCUGGCGGCGUGCUUAACACAUGCAAGUCGAACGGAAAGGCCCUGCUUUUGUGGGGUGCUCGAGUGGCGAACGGGUGAGUAACACGUGAGUAACCUGCCCUUGACUUUGGGAUAACUUCAGGAAACUGGGGCUAAUACCGGAUAGGAGCUCCUGCUGCAUGGUGGGGGUUGGAAAGUUUCGGCGGUUGGGGAUGGACUCGCGGCUUAUCAGCUUGUUGGUGGGGUAGUGGCUUACCAAGGCUUUGACGGGUAGCCGGCCUGAGAGGGUGACCGGCCACAUGGCGACUGAGAUACGGCCCAGACGGCUACGGGAGGCAGCAGGGGGGAAUAUUGCACAAUGGGCGGAAGCCUGAUGCAGCAACGCCGCGUGCGGGAUGACGGCCUUCGGGUUGUAAACCGCUUUCGCCUGUGACGAAGCGGGAGUGACGGUAAUGGGUAAAGAAGCACCGGCUAACUACGUG